CGGCGGUAUGCUUAACACAUGCAAGUCGAACGGUAGCAGGCCUUCGGGCGCUGACGAGUGGCGGACGGGUGAGUAACGCGUAGGAAUCUGCCUGGUAGUGGGGGACAACGUGGGGAAACUCACGCUAAUACCGCAUACGCCCUACGGGGGAAAGCGGGGGCUCUUCGGACCUCGCGCUAUCAGAUGAGCCUGCGUUAGAUUAGCUAGUUGGUAGGGUAAAGGCCUACCAAGGCGACGAUCUAUAGCUGGUCUGAGAGGACGAUCAGCCACACUGGGACUGAGACACGGCCCAGACUCCUACGGGAGGCAGCAGUGGGGAAUAUUGGACAAUGGGCGCAAGCCUGAUCCAGCAAUACCGCGUGUGUGAAGAAGGCCUUAGGGUUGUAAAGCACUUUCAAUGGGGAGGAAAACCUGCCGGUCAAUACCCGGUAGCUUGACAUUACCUUUAGAAGAAGCACCGGCUAACUCCGUGCCAGCAGCCGCGGUAAUACGGAGGGUGCGAGCGUUAAUCGGAAUUACUGGGCGUAAAGCGUGCGUAGGCGGUUCGUUAAGUCAGAUGUGAAAGCCCCGGGCUUAACCUGGGAACUGCAUUUGAAACUGGCGGACUAGAGUUGAGUAGAGGGGAGUGGAAUUUCAGGUGUAGCGGUGAAAUGCGUAGAUAUCUGAAGGAACACCAGUGGCGAAGGCGACUCCCUGGACCCAAACUGACGCUGAGGUACGAAAGCGUGGGUAGCAAACAGGAUUAGAUACCCUGGUAGUCC
rnacentral:rRNA from 1 species